rnacentral:pre_miRNA from 1 species
AGGAGGAACAGCCCCAGUGGCGGGGCCAGCUCUGGAAACCUGGGUUCAGCUCCGGCAGGAACUCCAGAGCUCUCCGUCUGCAGGGCCUGGAGGCUCCGGGGCGGG